CCCUUAGAUGUUCUGGGCCGCACGCGCGCUACACUGAACAGUUCAACAAGUCUUAACCUUGGCCGAUAGGUCUGGGUAAUCUUUGAACGCUGUUCGUGAUUGGGAUAGACCUUUGCAAUUAUGGGUCUUCAACGAGGAAUUCCUAGUAAACGCAAGUCAUCAGCUUGCAUUGAUUACGUCCCUGCCCUUUGUACACACCGCCCGUCGCACCUACCGAUUGAAUGGUCCGGUGAAAUCUCGGGACGGCGGCUUGGUCGCUUGCGUCCGACCGCUGAAACUUGAUUAAACCAUAUCAUUUAGAGGAAGGUGAAGUCGUAACA
rnacentral:rRNA from 1 species